GUGGCUGUAGCUCAGUCGGUAGAGCACAGGAUUGUGAUUCCUGAGGUCGCGGGUUCAAUCCCCGUCAGCCACCCCA
rnacentral:tRNA from 1 species